AACCUCUUGGUGUUUGCCACAGGCUGUGUUCUUACACUGACUGUAUAGAAAGAAGAGGCAAAGUAAACCUUAUACACAUGG
rnacentral:snoRNA from 1 species